ACCGUCAGUGUCUCAUACACAGUGCAGAAUAUUGAAAGGCUCAAGAAAGAACUGAGCUGAUCUUAUUCAACAUGGACAGAUGCUUUCUAAUCAUUGUUAUUAUGGGAACAGGUUUGGUGUCCGGGGACAGUAUUGAGCCAGACAAAGAGAAAAAUGUUAUCACAAAAGAAACAGAGACUGUCAAGCUGAGCUGCUCGUAUAGUACAACUAGCAAUGAUGUUCGUCUUUACUGGUACAGACAGUAUCUACAUGGGGAAAUUAUGUUUUUAGCAUAUAAAGGUGCUCGAUCACUGAGUGCUGCAAAAACUGCUGAUGAUCGGUUUCAUGCAACUACAACACAAACAUCCACUGAACUCACUAUUACUGAUUUACGUCUGUCAGAUUCAGCUCACUAUUAUUGUGCUCUAAGAGUAGGAGCCCAGUGA